rnacentral:rRNA from 1 species
UACGUAGGGAGCAAGCGUUGUCCGGAAUCAUUGGGCGUAAAGCGCGCGUAGGCGGCCCUGUAAGUCCGUUGUGAAAGUCAAAGGCUCAACCUUUGAAAGCCGAUGGAUACUGCAGGGCUAGAGUCCGGAAGAGGCGAGUGGAAUUCCUGGUGUAGCGGUGGAAUGCGCAGAUAUCAGGAGGAACACCAAUAGCGAAGGCAGCUCGCUGGGACGUACUGA